AACCUAGCACACCUGCGGUGUGUACCUGCGGAGGGAUCAUUACCGAGUUUACAACUCCCAAACCCCUGUGAACAUACCAAUUGUUGCCUCGGCGGAUCAGCCCGCUCCCGGUAAAACGGGACGGCCCGCCAGAGGACCCCUAAACUCUGUUUCUAUAUGUAACUUCUGAGUAAAACCAUAAAUAAAUCAAAACUUUCAACAACGGAUCU
rnacentral:misc_RNA from 1 species